rnacentral:rRNA from 1 species
AGCUCCAAUAGCGUAUAUUAAAGUUGUUGCAGUUAAAAAGCUCGUAGUUGAAUUUGUGGUGUGUGCCUUGGCGUCCAUUUGUUUGGUUCUGCCGUGGCCAUGCCAUCCUUGGGUGGAUCCUGUGUGGCAUUAGGUUGUCGUGCAGGGGAUGCCCAUCGUUUACUGUGAAAAAAUUAGAGUGUUCAAAGCAGGCUUAUGCCGUUGAAUAUAUUAGCAUGGAAUAAUAAGAUAGGUCUUUGGUCCUAUUUUGUUGGUUUGCGGGCCGUAGAAAUGAUCAACAGGGACAGUUGUGGGUAUUUGUAUUCCAUUGUCAGAGGUGAAAUUCUUGGAUUUCUGGAAGACAAACUACUGCGAAAGCAUUUACCAAGGAUGUUUUCA